rnacentral:rRNA from 1 species
GAUGAACGCUGGCGGCGUGCCUAAUACAUGCAAGUCGAGCGAACAGACGAGGAGCUUGCUCCUCUGACGUUAGCGGCGGACGGGUGAGUAACACGUGGAUAACCUACCUAUAAGACUGGGAUAACUUCGGGAAACGGGAGCUAAUACCGGAUAAUAUAUUGAACCGCAUGGUUCAAUAGUGAAAGACGGUUUUGCUGUCACUUAUAGAUGUAUCCGCGCCUCAUUAGCUAGUUGGGAGGGUAACGGCUUACCAAGGCAACGAUGCGUAGCCAACCGGAGAGGGUGAUGGCCCACACUGGAACUGAGCCACGCUCCAGCCUCCUCCGGGAGGCAGCAGAAGGGAACCUUCCGCAAUGGGCGAAGGCUUGACGGAGCACCCCCGCGUGAGUGAUGAAGGUCUUCGGAUCGUAAAACCCUGUUAUUAGGGAAGAACAAAUGUGUAAGUAACUAUGCACGUCUUGACGGUACCUACUCAGAAAGCCACGGCUAACUACGUG